rnacentral:rRNA from 1 species
GAUGAACGCUGGCGGCGUGCCUAACACAUGCAAGUCGAGCGACAGCGAGGGGUGCUUGCUCCCUGUCGGCGAGCGGCGGACGGCUGAGUAACGCGUGGGAACGUGCCCCAAAGUGAGGAAUUACUGCCCGAAAGGGUAGCUAAUACCGCAUAUUAUCUUCGAAUCACAGGAUUUAUACGCUUUGGACGCGGCUCGCGUCGGAUAAAGUAGUUGGUGAGGUGAUUGGUCACCAAGCCGACGAACCGUAGCUGGUCUGAGAGGAUGACCAGCCAGACUGGAACUGAGACACGGUCGAGACUCCUACGGGAGGCAGCAGUGAGGAAUCUUGCACAACGGGCGAAAGCCUGAUGGAGCAACGCCGCGUGAAGGACGAAGGCCUUCGGGUUGUAAAGUGCUUUUAUAAGUGAGGAAUAUGACGGUAACUUAUGAAUAAGGAUCGGCUAACUACGUG